rnacentral:rRNA from 1 species
UAGCAUAUCAAUAAGCGGAGGAAAAGAAACCAACAGGGAUUGCCCCAGUAACGGCGAGUGAAGCGGCAACAGCUCAAAUUUGAAAUCUGGCCCCCAGGGUCCGAGUUGUAAUUUGCAGAGGAUGCUUUUGGCAAGGUGCCUUCCGAGUUCCCUGGAACGGGACGCCAUAGAGGGUGAGAGCCCCGUCUGGUUGGAUACCGAGCCUCUGUAAAGCUCCUUCGACGAGUCGAGUAGUUUGGGAAUGCUGCUCUAAAUGGGAGGUAUAUGUCUUCUAAAGCUAAAUAUUGGCCAGAGACCGAUAGCGCACAAGUAGAGUGAUCGAAAGAUGAAAAGCACUUUGAAAAGAGGGUUAAAUAGUACGUGAAAUUGUUGAAAGGGAAGCGCUCAUGACCAGACUUGGGCCCGGUGAAUCAUCCAGCGCUCGUCGCUGGUGCACUUUGCCGGGCUCAGGCCAGCAUCAGUUCGCUCCGGGGGACAAAGGCUCUGGGAAUGUGGCUCCUCCGGGAGUGUUAUAGCCCACUGCGCAAUACCCUGGGGCGGACUGAGGUUCGCGCAUUCGUGCAAGGAUGCUGGCGUAAUGGUCAUCAGUGACCCGUCUUGAAACACGGACCAAGGAGUCGUCUUCGUAUGCAAGUGUUCGGGUGUAAAACCCCUACGCGUAAUGAAAGUGAACGCAGGUGAGAGCUUCGGCGCAUCAUCGACCGAUCCUGAUGUUCUCGGAUGGAUUUGAGUAAGAGCAUACGGGGCCGGACCCGAAAGAAGGUGAACUAUGCCUGUAUAGGGUGAAGCCAGAGGAAACUCUGGUGGAGGCUCGCAGCGGUUCUGACGUGCAAAUCGAUCGUCAAAUAUGGGCAUGGGGGCGAAAGACUAAUCGAACCUUCUAGUAGCUGGUUUCCGCCGAAU